UACGUAGGGUGCGAGCGUUAAUCGGAAUUACUGGGCGUAAAGCGUGCGCAGGCGGCUUUGCAAGACAGAUGUGAAAUCCCCGGGCUUAACCUGGGAACUGCAUUUGUGACUGCAUGGCUGGAGUGCGGCAGAGGGGGAUGGAAUUCCGCGUGUAGCAGUGAAAUGCGUAGAGAUGUGGAGGAACACCGAUGGCGAAGGCAGCCCCCUGGGCUGAGAUUGACGCUCAGGCACGAAAGCGUGGGGAGCAAACAGG
rnacentral:rRNA from 1 species